GACGAACGCUGGCGGCGUGCUUAACACAUGCAAGUCGAACGGAAAGGCCCUGCUUUUGUGGGGUGCUCGAGUGGCGAACGGGUGAGUAACACGUGAGUAACCUGUCCCUGACUUUGGGAUAACUUCGGGAAACUGGGGCUCAUACCGGAUAGGAUCUCUUGCUGCAUGGUGGGGGUUGGAAAGUUUCGGCGGUUGGGGAUGGACUCGCGGCUUAUCAGCUUGUUGGUGGGGUAGUGGCUUACCAAGGCUUUGACGGGUAGCCGGCCUGAGAGGGGGACCGGCCACCUUGGGACUGAGAUACGGACCAGACUCCUACGGGAGGCAGCAGUGGGGAGUAUUGCACAAUGGGCGGGAGCCUGAUGCGGCAACGCCGCGUGCGGGAUGACGGCCUUCGGGUUGUAAACCACUUUCGCCUGUGACGAAGCGUGAGUGACGGUAAUGGGUAAAGAAGCACCGGCUAACUACGUG
rnacentral:rRNA from 1 species